UCUGAAGGCUUGGGAGUGUCUACCCUGAUUUCAGAAGGUGUACGGAAAAGCUUGUGGGCCCAGGAGGAGAUUUGUCUCAAAGGCGGAUUCACCACAUAGGGCCUUCACUAGAGCAGUGCGGAGCAGAAAUGUGGGGUCAGAGUUGCAGCAGAGAAACCCCAACAGCGCCAUGCCUAGUGGAGCCGUGGGGGUGGGACAGCCAUGGAGAUCCCAGACUUGUGGAGCUACCAGAGUGGAAUGCCAGCCUGGGAGAGCUAAAUGUGGUCUGCCACCAGGAGAGCCAUAGGAGCAGAGCUGCCCAAGGACUUGGUGACCCAACACCCGCACCAGCAUGCAGAGGACGUCAAACAUGGAGUCAAGCAUCUUGCAAUAUGAGACCCCUGGGUCACUGUCACCACCACCAGAUGGGCUUUGGACUUCCCAGCCUCAGAAACUGAAGCAAUAAAUUUUAUUUUCCUAUAAA